UACGGGGGGGGCAAGCGUUGUUCGGAAUUACUGGGCGUAAAGGGCUCGUAGGCGGCCAACUAAGUCAAACGUGAAAUCCCUCGGCUUAACCGGGGAACUGCGUCUGAUACUGGAUGGCUUGAGAUUGGGAGAGGGAUGCGGAAUUCCAGGUGUAGCGGUGAAAUGCGUAGAUAUCGAGAGGAACACCUGCGGCGAAGGCGGGUUGCUGGGCUGACACUGACGCUGAAGUGCGAAAGCUAGGGGAGCGAACGGG
rnacentral:rRNA from 1 species